UGUGCUGUCGAGAAAAGCCUCUAGCGAGUGCAUAUUCGGCCCGUACCCGAAACCGACACAGGUGGUCAGGUAGAGAAUACUAAGGCGAUCGAGAGAAUCAUGGUUAAGGAACUCGGCAAAAUGCCCCCGUAACUUCGGGAGAAGGGGGACCACUACUGGUUGCUGACAGCAUUUUUAGCUGGUGGUGGUCGCAGAGGAGAGAGGGAAGCGAC
rnacentral:rRNA from 1 species